rnacentral:tmRNA from 1 species
GGGGGUGUUCCGGAUUUGAUUGGUACGGAAGGUUGACGUAAGCACGCCGAAGUCUCCCGAGUCUUCGUUAAAACGGGAACUUUAAAAUUAAAUGCAAACAAUCGUGUUGCAUACGCUGCUUAAUUAGUAGCUGUCCGAUAUAAAAGCGCCGCUGGUUUAUAAAGGGCAUCAUUUAAAGCGGAACUUUUAUUUAGUUUUAAUUGUGGCUAUUUAAAAGAAUUUAGCAAUUCACGAUAAUACGGGUUUGUUCGUUAGACGGUAUUAUAAGGGAUUUAAAACAGAACUAAGCGUGUAGAAAGCGCAAUUAACCAUAUCAAGACGAGAGUUCAACUCUCUCCACCUCCACCA